rnacentral:rRNA from 1 species
GACGAACCGUGCGAACGUUGUUCGGAAUCACUGGGCUUAAAGGGCGCGUAGGCGGACGACCAAGUCAGGGGUGAAAUCUUUCGGCUCAACCGGAAAACAGCUUUUGAUACUGGUCGUCUGGAGUGAGGUAGAGGCAUGUGGAACUUCCGGUGGAGCGGUGAAAUGCGUAGAGAUCGUAAGGAAGACCAGUGGC